CGGUGGAGCAUGUGGUUAAUUCGAAGCAACGCGAAGAACCUUACCAGGCCUGACAUGCAGAGAACUUUCCAGAGAUGGAUUGGUGCCUUCGGGAACUCUGACACAGGUGCUGCAUGGCUGUCGUCAGCUCGUGUCGUGAGAUGUUGGGUUAAGUCCCGUAACGAGCGCAACCCUUGCCUUUAGUUGCCAGCAGUUCGGCUGGGCACUCUAAAGGGACUGCCGGUGUUAAACCGGAGGAAGGUGGGGAUGACGUCAAGUCCUCAUGGCCUUUAUGUCCAGGGCUACACACGUACUACAAUGGCCGAUACAAAGGGCAGCGACACUGCGAGGUGAAGCCAAUCCCGUAAAAUCGGUCUCAGUCCGGAUUGGAGUCUGCAACUCGACUCCAUGAAGUUGGAAUCGCUAGUAAUCGUGGAUCAGCAUGCCACGGUGAAUACGUUCCCGGGCCUU
rnacentral:rRNA from 1 species